GAUGAACGCUGGCGGCGUGCCUAAUACAUGCAAGUCGAGCGAACGGACGAGAAGCUUGCUUCUCUGAUGUUAGCGGCGGACGGGUGAGUAACACGUGGAUAACCUACCUAUAAGACUGGGAUAACUUCGGGAAACCGGAGCUAAUACCGGAUAAUAUUUUGAACCGCAUGGUUCAAAAGUGAAAGACGGUCUUGCUGUCACUUAUAGAUGGAUCCGCGCUGCAUUAGCUAGUUGGUAAGGUAACGGCUUACCAAGGCAACGAUGCAUAGCCGACCUGAGAGGGUGAUCGGCCACACUGGAACUGAGACACGGUCCAGACUCCUACGGGAGGCAGCAGUAGGGAAUCUUCCGCAAUGGGCGAAAGCCUGACGGAGCAACGCCGCGUGAGUGAUGAAGGUCUUCGGAUCGUAAAACUCUGUUAUUAGGGAAGAACAUAUGUGUAAGUAACUGUGCACAUCUUGACGGUACCUAAUCAGAAAGCCACGGCUAACUACGUGCCAGCAGCCGCGGUAAUACGUAGGUGGCAAGCGUUAUCCGGAAUUAUUGGGCGUAAAGCGCGCGUAGGCGGUUUUUUAAGUCUGAUGUGAAAGCCCACGGCUCAACCGUGGAGGGUCAUUGGAAACUGGAAAACUUGAGUGCAGAAGAGGAAAGUGGAAUUCCAUGUGUAGCGGUGAAAUGCGCAGAGAUAUGGAGGAACACCAGUGGCGAAGGCGACUUUCUGGUCUGUAACUGACGCUGAUGUGCGAAAGCGUGGGGAUCAAACAGGAUUAGAUACCCUGGUAGUCCACGCCGUAAACGAUGAGUGCUAAGUGUUAGGGGGUUUCCGCCCCUUAGUGCUGCAGCUAACGCAUUAAGCACUCCGCCUGGGGAGUACGACCGCAAGGUUGAAACUCAAAGGAAUUGACGGGGACCCGCACAAGCGGUGGAGCAUGUGGUUUAAUUCGAAGCAACGCGAAGAACCUUACCAAAUCUUGACAUCCUUUGACAACUCUAGAGAUAGAGCCUUCCCCUUCGGGGGACAAAGUGACAGGUGGUGCAUGGUUGUCGUCAGCUCGUGUCGUGAGAUGUUGGGUUAAGUCCCGCAACGAGCGCAACCCUUAAGCUUAGCUGCCAUCAUUAAGUUGGGCACUCUAAGUUGACUGCCGGUGACAAACCGGAGGAAGGUGGGGAUGACGUCAAAUCAUCAUGCCCCUUAUGAUUUGGGCUACACACGUGCUACAAUGGACAAUACAAAGGGCAGCGAAACCGCGAGGUCAAGCAAAUCCCAUAAAGUUGUUCUCAGUUCGGAUUGUAGUCUGCAACUCGACUACAUGAAGCUGGAAUCGCUAGCAAUCGUAGAUCAGCAUGCUACGGUGAAUACGUUCCCGGGUCU
rnacentral:rRNA from 1 species